UACGGAGGGUGCAAGCGUUACUGGGAAUCACUGGGCGUAAAGCGCGCGCAGGCGGGCUGAUAAGUUGGAUGUGAAAGCCUACGGCUCAACCGUAGAACUGCAUCCAAAACUGUCAGUCUAGAGUCUGGGAGGGGAAGAUGGAAUUAGUUGUGUAGGGGUAAAAUCCGUAGAGAUAACUAGGAAUACCAAAAGCGAAGGCGAUCUUCUGGAACAGUACUGACGCUGAGGCGCGAAAGCGUGGGGAGCAAACAGGAUUAGAAACCCUAGUAGUCC
rnacentral:rRNA from 1 species